GAUCAUGGGUAAUACAUCUCCUUUCCCUUCUCGCCAUGCGGGAGGAGCGACGAUCGUGCUUCAGCAAAUCUUCCUGAAUUUGGACCGAAUGUUGCGAAUCGUCGACGCUUGACGCCCCUGAUCGCGACUUUAGUGGACUAAAACAUCAUUCGUGCCAUCUUCGUGUCCGGUUGGAGUCGCCUCGUGCACGUCGAAGCUUCUCGGCCUAGCUUAGCUUAGCUUAGCUUAGCUUGCUAGCAAAGAGACGCGUUUGGGAUCAACACUUCGCUCAGCAGAGAUCAAGCGGGAGUGUUGCGAUCGUCGUGUGAAAAUGUGUGCAAGGACAGCAGAGUACGAGGAGGAACUUUGGGGCCCAAAAGAGGAGAAGGAGCCACAACGUCAACUGCUGGACGCUGCGUUCAAUCUGCAGCCUCGAAUUGUGCUCCGCAGAGCAGACAUCACUAAAGAUCUUCGUCCUGACCAGCAGGAGCCAGAGCCCCUUCACAUUAAAGAGGAAGUGGAGGACGAAGAACGCACACUGGUGAGAAACCUUUUUCCUGCUUAGUUUGUGGCCAAAUGUUCUGUUAUACGUAUCAGGCUAAGACACACAAGUGUGCGGGUGAGAAGAGCAGUGAUCAAGAAGCUUUUUAAUGAAAAUGUCAAUGUUUAAUCUGAGAACUAAUGACCUGAUUUACAAAAGUCUACAGUCUUGUAUUCUGUGUACCAGAUUUUAUUGUAUUCUUCUUCUUGUCCAUAUAUUUUCUCAAAGAGCCAAAAUACUUUAAAGGGACUAGUUGAAGGUGAGAAC